GCUAUCCUAGUGAGCUUGAUGUCUUUGUGUCUUCGUGGUUUUGAUUUAUAUUUCUGAUAUGACUGAUAACAUUGUGCAUCUUGGAGUUCCCGUCAUGGCGCAGUGGUUAAUGAAUUCGACUAGGAACCAUGAGAGAUUGAACCUGUGUCCUCAGGGAUGCUAGUCAGAUUCAUUUCCACUGAGCCAUGAUGGGAACUCCAAGAACUUUUUAAAAAUUUAAUUUUAUAUUGGAGUAUAAUUGAUUCUACACAGCUUUUUUCUUUUUCUUUUUUUUUUUUUCUUUCUUUGGUCUUUUUAGGGCUACAAUAACAUGUAACAUAACUUUUCUAACAUAUGAUAAAAAUGGAUUGGUUUGCCAGGAACAAGAAAAAAAAUCCUUAUUAAAAAAUGCUGAGUACUGAAUGAUGUGUGUAGUGUUAAUGCGAAUCGUAUUUGCUUUAUUUUGUCCUGUAUGAACACUAAUCCUGAUGUUCUUGCAGGAGAACGUCCGUAUAAAUGUGAACUUUGUCCUUACUCAAGUUCUCAGAAGACUCACCUAACCAGACACAUGCGUACUCACUCAGGUGGGUGACAGAUGGGAACUUUACUGUCAUUUCAGGAAACUGCAUUACAAGGAAGUUCUCGCAGACCUGGAACUGGGUCAUUAUUUAUGGUUUAUUUUAAUAUAAUUUUGAAAUUAAAAGAGUUAAAAAUUACUGUUUGGGGUUCCUUUGUGGCUUAGUGGGUUCAGGAUCCAUCGUUGUCACGGCUGUGUCUCUGGUGGUGGCUAUGGUGCAAGUUUAGUCCCUGGCCUGGGAACUUCUGCAUGCUGCAGGCAAAGCCAAAAAGAAAAAAGAAAUUAGUGCUCUGCUAGUGUGUAGCUGUAUUUUUUUUUUUUUUUCUUUUUUGGCUGCACCCACGGCAUGUGGAAGUUCCCAGGCCAGGGGUUGAACCUGCACCAUAGCAGCCACCAGAGCCACCUGCAUUGAUAAUGCCAGAAUCUUAACCUGCUGAGCCACAAGGGAACUCCAGAAUAGCUAUUUUUUUGUUUGUUUUGUCUUUUCUAGGGCCACACCCGUAGCAUAUGGAGGUUCCUAGGCUAGGGGUCUGAUUGGUGCUGUGACCGCCAGCCACAGCAACUCGGGAUCCGAGUGCGUCUUCGACCUACACCACAGCUCACCGCAACACUGGAUACUUAACCCACUGAAGCACGGCCAGGGAUAGAACCUGAAACCUCAUGGUUCCUAGUCGAAUUCAUUAACCACUGAGCCAUGAUGGGAACUCCCAGAACAGCUAUUUUUUUUAACACUGAUUACAUACUGACAUAAUACUGAAUAUAUUGGGUGUAAGUAAGAAAAGCUAAUGUUGGUUCUUUUUACCUUUGUAAUGGGACUGUUAGACAAUUUAAAAUUACCUGGUUGCUUGCAUUUUAUUUCUGUUGGGUCUUGCUGUCUUAGGUCAGUAAUGGUGUAAGAUUUGAUUAUAGUAUGAAUUCUGAUUUGAGCAGCUCUGAGGGCUCACAGCAUGUUUGCUGGCCUCUCUUGACCCUGCAUGCUUUCAUAUUACAUAUUUGGAAUGUUCUUUCUCAAUCUCCUGAACUACUGAGUUGAGUCUCUUGCCUAGAAACCUGUUUUUUACAUUACUUUUAGGUGCUUUCUGGUUUUAUUUUCUGCAGGUAGCAUGGGUGCUUUGUUGAGGGUAGGCCAUCCUGUCUUAAUGAUAAUUCUGCAACAUUUAAAAGCUUUUCAUGGGUUGACUUGUUUUCAUUUUCAUAACUAUCUUACGGUGUAUAAGUUCUAUUUUUGUCCCAUUUUACAAAUGGGGAAACUGAGACUUUGAAGAAAUAUGGCCAUUUUUCCUGUGACUGUCCCCUCCUUUGGAUUUGUCUUACUUGCUUUCUUAUGGAAUCAUUUCGUUUUCCUCUGUCCCUGUGCCUCGUAUAAUUUGUAUACUGGAGAUUAAAUCUAAAUGUUUUAAAUUGUAGUUACUAAUGGGUCUCACUUCAAGUCCUAUCUGGUUGACCUAUGAUUUGUAUCAUGGAAUCAGAAUGAGAGCACGCACAUCUUUUUCAUUGAAUCAAUAAUACCUUUGUCAUUGUACACCUGUGUAUCUAUGUGUUUUACACCAGUCAAUAAUCAUUGCCUGAAUGGUUUUGCAUUCACUGCUCUUAUCUUGAACUUUCUUUGCUGUAUUUUAAAGGUGGUUUUUAGUAGUUGCUGUUACAGUACAGCAAGUAUUUUAAAAGUGUUAAUAAUGAGUAAUAGUUAAUAUUUAGUGUAUGCAUGCUGGGUACUGAAAAUUUGGGGUUUUUAUCUCUAAUCUUAGUGCCCCUAGAAUACUUAAAUCCCAAUUUAUACAGUAGGACAUGGGCUUAGAGAAAGUAGAUGCUUUAAAGUUAAUUGUUAUUCCUCUAAGUUAUUUCCAGCAGUCCUGCGUUUUAGUACUUUUAAUUGAAUUCAGCCAGGGUUUAGCCUCAGUCCUCCACCCUCAUUGUCCGAUAUCAGCAUUGUUAAGAGAACAUUAUGGAUCAGAAAAUGGCUAAGGAGCUACAGCUAAGGAAACAGGAAACAAAAGUAUGGUGAGAGCAGAGUGAUUAUCUUUUGUUUUGUUUUUUUUGCUAUUUCUUGGGCCGCUCCCGCGGCAUAUGGAGGUUCUCCCAGGCUAGGGGUCGAAUCGGAGCUAUAGCUGCCAGCCUACGCCAGAGCCACAGCAACGCAGGAUCCGAGCCGUGACUGCAACCUACACCACAGCUCAUGGCAACGCCAGAUCGUUAACCCACUGAGCAAGGGCAGGGACUGAACCCGCAACCUCAUGGUUCCUAGUCGGAUUCGUUAACCACUGCACCACCACGGGAACUCCAGAGUGAUUAUCUUUUAUGGGGAUGCCAGUAAUUUGUGAAUCAAAAACAGGAAACACGUGGUUCGUUCGUUUUGUAUAUGAUUGUGAAGCACAUGAGGCCAGUUUUGCUUUCCUCUGUGAGUGUGAAGCACAUGAGGCCAGUUUAUGUCCUCUGUGAGUGCUGAAUUAUUUCCAGCUGACCCUGUGUUUUAAUACUUUUAGUUGAAAUUGCUGAUAACACUUGCAAAUCAGGUGAAGCUAAGUGAGGUAAAAUUGGGUGGGUUUUCUUUCUUUUUUUUCCUUUUUUUCUUUUUUUAUGGCCACACCAGGCUAGGGGUGGAAUCAGCUGCCUCUGCAGCCCCACACCAUAGCACGGCAAUGCCAGAUCUGCGCCACAUCUGUGACCUACGCUGCAGCUCUUGGCAACUCAGGAUCCUUAACCCACUGAGUGAGACCAGAGGUUGAACCCACAACCUCGAAGGGACUAUGUCAGGUUCUUAACCUGCUGAGCUGCAGCAGGAACUCAUGGGUAGGUAUCUUGCUGCUUAGGUUGCAUGGAGGUGGAUGCUUUCUCAGUGGCCUGGAGUCUGAUCUUGCAGGUCACCUUAGGCAUUUGGUUCCUUUCUCAUGUGAAUGUAUUUUAGGGAAGAGAAGUGUAUGCUCAUUCUCUUAUUUCUGGGAGAGAUUACGCUCAGUUGAGUUUGGUACUUUUUUUUUUUUUGGUCUUUUUAGGGCCACACCCAGGGCAUAUGGAGGUUCCUAGGCUUGGGGUCCAAUUGGAGCUGUAGCUGCCGUCCUGCACCACAGUCACAGCAACACGGGAUCCGAGCAGUGUCUGUGACCUAUACCAUAGCCCACAGCAGUGCAGGAUCCUUAACCUGCUGAGCAAGGCCAGGGAUUGAACCUGUGUCCUCAUGGAUGCCAUUCAGAUUCGUUUCCACUGAUCCAUGACGGGAACUCCGAGUUUGGUACAUUUUAGCUAAAAUGCAAAAUAAAUUGGUUUCUGAAGCAAAACCAUAUUGGUUUUUUCCUUGCAGCACGUCCAUUAGCAUAGGUCUUCCCAGGCCAUCGUAGGAAAGGAUCAGUCUCGGUCGGUGAAGUACAGACAUGCUAACCUCAGCUGCAGCUAGUGGUGCCUAUAACUAAUGGUUGUGACACUUGUUCACUUCGGUAGUGGAAGAUCCUGACAUAAGCCCCAGCACUCCCUGUCCUGUUCUCAGUAGGUGUGCUCCCAUUUCAUUGUGGAUGAAGUAAUCAGUUUGUAUCUGUAGGUAUAUCCCUGGAUAGUUCCCCUAUCCUGCUAGUGUAGGGCUUCACUGGGAAUAUUUUCCCAUUAUGACCGUAAUGGGUGUUUGUUGUGUUUUGGGUUUUUUUUUUUUUUGCUUUUUAGGGCCACACUCACAGCAUAUGGAGUUUCCCAGGCUAGGGGUCAGAUUGGAGCCGUAGCUGCAGGCCAGUGCCCCCGCCACAGCAACAUAGGAUCUGAGCUGUAUCUGCAACCUACACCACAGCUCAUGGUGAUGCCGGAUCCUUAACCCUCGGAGUGAGGCCAGGGGUUAAGGCCUCAUGGAUGCUAUCAGAUUCGCUAACCACUGAGCCAUGAUGGGAACUCCAUAAUGGAUGUUUGUUAAAGGGAACUAACAACUUGCUAAGUUCUACCUCCACUUACCACUCUUCUUAAAAUGGAGAAAAAAAAAAUUUCAGCAAAAAAAAAAAAUUUACUCUCCCUUCACCAUUUAAUUAUUAUUACUGCACCAGGGUUCAAACCUGUGCCACAGCAGGAACCCAAGUCACUACAGUGACAACACUGGAUCCUUAACCCACUGAACCAGAAGGGAGCUACUGGGCUCUUCUUCAUAAGAAUGUGUAAAGUUUAUAAAAUUCCCUUUUUUGAAUUUGUCUUACAUCUGUACACUAAUUUGGAUAGAAUAAAAUAGACAUCGGACGCAUUUUGAAAGAUAUAAAACAAGUAAAUAUUUAUUAGACCUAGAGAAGGGAAUUAAGUUAAAACCAUUAGUACAGGUACGUUGCUGUGUCUCUGGCAUAGGCCAGUGGCUACAGCUCCUAUUAGACCCCUAGCCUGAGAACCUCCAUAUGCCGAAGGUGUGGCCCUAAAAGGACAAAAGACAAAAAAAUACAAUAAAUAAAACCACUGGUACAGGGCAAAAAAGAUUUACCUUCACCUAGGUAUUAAGAAACUAAACUCGAUGAUGGAGUUCCUGUCGUGGCUCAGUGGUUAACGAAUCCGACUAGGAACCAUGAGGUUGCAGGUUCAAUCCCUGGCCUUGCUUAGUGGUGUAAGGAUCCAGUGUUUCUGUGAACUGUGGUGUAGGUCGCAGACGCAGCUCAGAUCCCACAUUGCUGUGUCUCUGGCGUAGGCCAGUGGCUACAGCUCCGACUGGACCCCUGGCCUGGGAACCUCCAUUGUGCCACGGGAGUACUCCCUAGAAAAGGCAAAAAGACCAAAAAAAAAAAAAAAAAAA
ensembl:lncRNA